AGCGCUGUGAUUGGUCGGCACGGUGACAGAGGGGCGGGGAUGUGAGAUUACAGCAUCUCUCCGUCUCUCGGUGCUGAUACAGCGGACAUCUGGAGCUGCCCUGCCCGGGAAUCAAAGCCCCGAACGCCGCCGAGACAGCCCGAGUUCGCUCUCUGUUUCGCGGGGAAAACGCCCGAGCGUGCUCCGUUGUUGUUGUUUUCGCGCCUUUCGGGCUGGAUCUAACGUCUCGAGACUGCAACGGACGGACCCUUUCUGCCGGUAAAAACACAGAAACUACGGAUAAAUCCCGGGAGAACGGUGAUGGACUGAAGUGAUCCGGUAUCUGAGAGGGUUUUGGGCCCGAUGGAAGCUGCGACACACCAAGACCUGGAGCGUCUGGGUCCCGGUUCCGGCUUCAGUCUGGACUAAAGACUCGGUUCGUCCCCGAGGGAUUCAAACAGUCACUUCUUUUCUCCGGUAAACGGGCCCAAACCGGCGGAUCAGGACCGUUCUGGGGGUAUUUUAACAACUAUAUUUGCAUAUUUUAUUAAUAUUUAGUUGAGAUAUUUGGAUAUGCAGCGUUUUCGUGGAUUAACACCCAGCGGGAUCAUGUGUCCCCCCUCCUCUGCUCCUCUAAUCCGGGUUUAAAUCUGAGAUCUGAUCUGGAUUACUCUGCUCCUCCGUUACAUCUGUCCCGGGCUGAACCGGUCCCGGUCCCGAUCCCUGGGGGAUCUCGGAUCCGGUCCUGGUUUUACGGAGUUCUGCUGUCAGAUAUUAUCUAGGACUCGGUAUCGGUUGCUCUCGGUCCUGGUUUCGGGGAGUUCUGCUGUCGCCAUGCCGACGUCCCGGCCUGGUUCGGAGCCAGUGGAGUUCUGGGUGGACGGGUCGAGGCGGGACGGGGCGGUGGAGGAGUUCUACACCCUGAGUACCGAGCUGGGACGAGGAGCCACGUCCAUCGUGUAUCGCUGCGAGGAGAAACAGACUCAGAAACCCUACGCCAUCAAAGUCCUCAAGAAAACGAUCGACAAGAAAAUAGUUCGGUGACAGAAUCGUGUGUCCUG